GAUGAAAGCUGAAACUUGUCCAUAGUGGAGACUAGGGAAAGACUAGCUGUGAUUGUUAGAGAUCCAAAUCACCAAGUUUAAAAAUAUUUGGAAGCUGCCACACACAAUCUGAGAGAAGCUUUGCUGGCCUGGGUGUGGGCCAUCAACAAAGACAAGGUCCAGGAACCUGGUUUGUCUGUCAAAUUCUUGGGUGUUAUCUGAUCAGGUAAGUCAAAAAUAAAUAAAUAUGCCUGAUAAAAUCCAGGCAUAUCCCAG
rnacentral:lncRNA from 1 species